CCUACGGGAGACAGCAGUGGGGAAUCUUGCGCAAUGGGCGAAAGCCUGACGCAGCCAUGCCGCGUGAAUGAUGAAGGUCUUAGGAUUGUAAAAUUCUUUCACCGGGGACGAUAAUGACGGUACCCGGAGAAGAAGCCCCGGCUAACUUCGUGCCAGCAGCCGCGGUAAUACGAAGGGGGCUAGCGUUGCUCGGAAUUACUGGGCGUAAAGGGAGCGUAGGCGGAUAGUUUAGUCAGAGGUGAAAGCCCAGGGCUCAACCUUGGAAUUGCCUUUGAUACUGGCUAUCUUGAGUGUGGGAGAGGUAUGUGGAACUCCGAGUGUAGAGGUGAAAUUCGUAGAUAUUCGGAAGAACACCAGUGGCGAAGGCGACAUACUGGCCCAUUACUGACGCUGAGGCUCGAAAGCGUGGGGAGCAAACAGGAUUAGAUACCCUGGUAGUCCACGCUGUAAACGAUGAGUGCUAGUUGUCGGCAUGCAUGCAUGUCGGUGACGCAGCUACGACAUAAGACACUCCGCCGUCGGGAGGUACGGUCGCGAAGAAGUUAAACUACGAAGAAGUAGACGGACGUGAGACGUGCCGACGGACGACGACGAGGGAGGAGG
rnacentral:rRNA from 1 species